rnacentral:rRNA from 1 species
AGCGAACGCUGGCGGCAGGCUUAACACAUGCAAGUCGAGCGCCUGUAGCAAUACAGGAGCGGCAGACGGGUGAGUAACGCGUGGGAACGUACCCUUUGGUUCGGAACAACACAGGGAAACUUGUGCUAAUACCGGAUAAGCCCUUACGGGGAAAGAUUUAUCGCCGAAGGAUCGGCCCGCGUCUGAUUAGCUUGUUGGUGAGGUAACGGCUCACCAAGGCUACGAUCAGUAGCUGGUCUGAGAGGAUGAUCAGCCACACUGGGACUGAGACACGGCCCAGACUCCUACGGGAGGCAGCAGUGGGGAAUAUUGGACAAUGGGCGCAAGCCUGAUCCAGCCAUGCCGCGUGAGUGAUGAAGGCCCUAGGGUUGUAAAGCUCUUUCGGCGGGGAAGAUAAUGACGGUACCCGCAUAAGAAGCCCCGGCUAACUUCGUGCCAGCAGCCGCAGUAAUAC